GAACUCCAUCAGGAGUGCCCCGCUUCGAGAUCAUGUCAAGGGAAGGGGAUAACAGGAAGGCAAAAGUGAAAAUUCAUACGUGUCUCGCUCUGGUUGCCGAUAGCUGGAAUAAGGCACUGCUCUGCUGUGAGCGGCGGGGGGACCGGCAAGGCCGGUCAAGACCGUUUCCCCGUGGCACCUUCAGGAGAGUAGUCGCGGGUCGUCUCGGUGUAAUUGCCUGACGGAGCCGCAUAUUUCUCGAUGCGUUUUCUGUGGAAGCAGGAGAACUUACAUUUGUCAGCUAUUUCAGGGAGGAUGUUUCCUGGGUUGUGCUGGCGAGGGGCAAGACCGCCGUGCGGUCCUUCGGGGCAAAAGCGGUUUGGCGAUAGAACAACUCCUUUUCGUGUUCCUUCGCUUUGUAGAAUGAGAACGUACAUCGCUUAUAGUGGUCAGUGUUUCACUCCCGCCCACCUUUUUACAAACGAGGGAAAAUGAGGGCGGGAAUCAGCGGCGGACAACUAUGCGUGGAUCUGUAUGGGGAGGAUGCUCGUUGGAACUGUGAAGGAUGCGUACGCACAUCGCGACGAAGGAGACUCCCGGGACGGGCAGACGUAACUUACCAAGGCUCUUCUCUGGGACAACGCAGGUAUUCUCCAAGCCGAGCGUCACUCGAGAGGAGCCUUCCCACUCUACCGUCCAAAAGAACGCAGCCCGCCUGCGAGUAGAUUGGAGGAACGCUAUAGAAGCGCCUCCGCAAUCAUUUACGGAGAAAAGAAGGAGAGUUCCUUCCGAUUCUGUGCUGUUUCACCAGGUAGUACAAUAGUGUUUGGUCUACGCUUCAGAGACCCCUCGAACUGCUGGUGGAACCAACUGUGCCUCCGGAUGCCUCGCUCGAUUUUGAGGGUAAAGACAUAGAAAAAGUGGGCGUAACAAAAGGAUGCGGGAAAAGAAUUCGCGGAGACGACGAAGCAGAAACGAACAGCGAUCGUCCACGACGCCGGCUUAACGCCUUGAUUUUCGAUGGACUAUGAACGAGUAGAUCCCGCGGAGCUGUCGGAGCAGCAUGCCAGCAAGAAGAUCCAGUUCCUCUCUCACCCGAAAGAAGAGUUUGCGGCUGUCGAGCAAGAAGCCAACUACCCGUUGCGGGGGCGAGACGGUAUCAAAAUACAGGUCGCUUCGGGUUGGUAAGCGUGGAAUGUGCCAGGUGCGCUGUUCGUUUCCAGAGUACAGGCCGAUCCCGUACUUUCUCUCCUACGAAUAGAGUUUCAAAUUUUUGAGAAAAGAGUGAACCUUCGACCGCGACAUAGGCUGUAUCGCCACGCAGGUUGGGAUCCCUUCGGGCUGUUCGAUCCACAGUUUGUGGCGAAGAUCUUUUGCGUCGAGAGCCUCGCUGACCUUUCUAAGCUCCUCUUCGCCGUGGACCUCCAGAACGACUUUCCGCAUGCUGUCACCUUCUGCAAGGCGGUCUGAUGGUACGCGGAUGCUUAGGAUGGCCCACGGGGAGUGACGAAGGCAACACGGAGGUCUGAGGCGGGUGUGACGGCAUGUGACAGUACACGAAGAGCCUGUUCCAGACUACCCGUUUCGUCGACAACCCGAAACUACUCGAGAGGUGAAACGGAAAAG
rnacentral:lncRNA from 1 species